rnacentral:rRNA from 1 species
UACAGAGGUCCCAAGCGUUGUUCGGAUUCAUUGGGCGUAAAGGGUGCGUAGGCGGCGCGGUAAGUCGGGUGUGAAAUCUCGGAGCUUAACUCCGAAACUGCAUUCGAUACUGCCGUGCUUGAGGACUGGAGAGGAGACUGGAAUUUACGGUGUAGCGGUGAAAUGCGUAGAUAUCGUAAGGAAGACCAGUGGCGAAGGCGGGUCUCUGGGACGGUACUGACGCUGAGACGCGAAAGCGUGGGGAGCGAACAGG